AUUGAACGCUGGCGGCAGGCCUAACACAUGCAAGUCGAACGAGUGGCGGACGGGUGAGUAAUGUCUGGGAAACUGCCCGAUGGAGGGGGAUAACUACUGGAAACGGUAGCUAAUACCGCAUACCAUCGGAUGUGCCCAGAUGGGAUUAGCUAGUAGGUGGGGUAACGGCUCACCUAGGCGACGAUCCCUAGCUGGUCUGAGAGGAUGACCAAGCAGACCGGAACCUGGACACGGCCCAGAAUCCUAAGGGAGGCUGCAGUGGGGAAUAUUGCACAAAGGGCGCAAGCCUGAUACAGCCAUGCCGCGUGUAUGAAGAAGGCCUUCGGGUUGUAAAGUACUUUCAGCGAGGAGGUGUUACUCGCAGAAGAAGCACCGGCUAACUCCGUGCCAGCAGCCGCGGUAAUUC
rnacentral:rRNA from 1 species